rnacentral:rRNA from 1 species
AGAGUUUGAUCCUGGCUCAGGACGAACGCUGGCGGCGUGCCUAAUACAUGCAAGUCGAACGCUUCUUUUCUACCGAGUGCUUGCACUCACUUGAAAAGAGGAGUGGCGGACGGGUGAGUAACACGUGGGUAACCUACCCAUCAGAGGGGGAUAACACUUGGAAACAGGUGCUAAUACCGCAUAAUAGUCGACAUCGCAUGGUGUUGAUUUGAAAGACGCUUUCGGGUGUCACUGAUGGAUGGACCCGCGGUGCAUUAGCUAGUUGGUGAGGUAACGGCUCACCAAGGCCAUGAUGCAUAGCCGACCUGAGAGGGUGAUCGGCCACACUGGGACUGAGACACGGCCCAGACUCCUACGGGAGGCAGCAGUAGGGAAUCUUCGGCAAUGGACGAAAGUCUGACCGAGCAACGCCGCGUGAGUGAAGAAGGUUUUCGGAUCGUAAAACUCUGUUGUUAGAGAAGAACAAGUAGGAGAGUAACUGCUCUUACCUUGACGGUAUCUAACCAGAAAGCCACGGCUAACUACGUGCCAGCAGCCGCGGUAAUACGUAGGUGGCAAGCGUUGUCCGGAUUUAUUGGGCGUAAAGCGAGCGCACGCGGUUUCUUAAGUCUGAUGUGAAAGCCCCCGGCUCAACCGGGGAGGGUCAUUGGAAACUGGGAGACUUGAGUGCAGAAGAGGAGAGUGGAAUUCCAUGGUGUAGCGGUGAAAUGCGUAGAUUAUAUGGAGGAACACAGUGGCGAAGCGACUCUCUGGUCUGUAACUGACGCUGAGCUCGAAAGGCGUGGGGGAGCAAACAGGAUUA